GAUGAAGAACGUAGCGAAAUGCGAUACUUGGUGUGAAUUGCAGAAUCCCGUGAACCAUCGAGUCUUUGAACGCAAGUUGCGCCCGAAGCCAUUAGGCCGAGGGCACGCCUGCCUGGGCAUCACACGUCGUUGCCCCCCCCCAUCUACUCCUUCGGGAUUGCGGGGGGCGGAUGAUGGCCUCCCGUGCGCCUCGCCGCGCGGUUGGCAUAAAUGCCAAGUCCUCGGCGACGCACGCCACGACAAUCGGUGGUUGCGAAACCUCGGUUGCCCGUCGUGUGCGGUCGUCGCGCAUCGAGGGCUCGAAAAAAUUGCCGAGUUCCGGCUCGGCUUUCAACGCGACCCCAGGUCAGGCGGGGUUACCCGCUGAAUUUAAGCAUAUCAAUAAGCGGAGGA
rnacentral:misc_RNA from 1 species